rnacentral:lncRNA from 1 species
CCCCUGAUGCAUUAUAUUUUUAGCUGUGUCUUUCUGUUCCUUUCUUUGUAUGUUCCUAAUUAUUGAUUAAGAUUUUUACAUAUUGAUGUAAAAUUAAGGAUAGAAAAUUUUAUUUGAAAAUAGAUAGAAAUUAUUUCUUUCUAUUUUCGGAUAAAGAUGGAGCAUUCGUAGAAAUCUUCAUGGAGAUGAAGACUGGACUACCAGAUGAUUGGAGAGUAGAGAUGCAUGUAGAUCGACCAUGAGAUGGUUCAGUCUGUGAUGCAUCUAAGAUUAGAUCCUUAAUCCCUCCAGUGGCUCGGAUGGAUUAUAUUAGAAAAGUCCAUAAUCAUCUGAUUUUUUUUUAUGCUCUUAUAUACUGGUAGUUAGAAUUUAAUAUAAAUUGUAUGUGAUGGAUUUAUAUGUUAUAGAUAUGUUUG